CUGGCUCAGGAUGAACGCUGGCGGCGUGCCUAAUACAUGCAAGUCGAACGAGGUAGCAAUACCGAGUGGCGAACGGGUGAGUAACACGUAGGUAACCUGCCUUCAGCUUGGGAUACCCGAGGGAAACCUUGGCUAAUACCGAAUAAUUGAUUUGGAGACAUCUCCGAAUCCUAAAAAGGGGCCUUUAAAGCCUCACUGAGAGAUGGACCUGCGGCGCAUUAGCUAGUUGGUGAGAUAAUAGCCCACCAAGGCGAGGAUGCGUAGCCGACCUGAGAGGGUGAACGGCCACACUGGAACUGAGACACGGUCCAGACUCCUACGGGAGGCAGCAGUAGGGAGUUUUCGGCAAUGGGGGAAACCCUGACCGAGCAACGCCGCGUGAAUGAUGAAAAGGUCUUCGGAUUGUAAAGUUCUGUUAUAGGGGAAGAAUGAUAGCUUGAGGAAAUGCUGGCUAUUUGACGGUACCUUAUUAGAAAGCCACGGCUAACUACGUGCCAGCCGCUGC
rnacentral:rRNA from 1 species